UACGGAGGAUGCGAGCGUUAUCCGGAUUUAUUGGGUUUAAAGGGUGCGUAGGCGGGAUGCCAAGUCAGCGGUAAAAAUGCGGUGCUCAACGCCGUCGAGCCGUUGAAACUGGCGUUCUUGAGUGGGCGAGAAGUAUGCGGAAUGCGUGGUGUAGCGGUGAAAUGCAUAGAUAUCACGCAGAACUCCGAUCGCGAAGGCAGCCUACCGGCGCGCAACUGACGCUCAUGCACGAAAGCGUGGGUAUCGAACAGG
rnacentral:rRNA from 1 species